rnacentral:rRNA from 1 species
GACGGAAGGUGCAAGCGUUGCUCGGAAUCACUGGGUUUAAAGGGUGCGUAGGCGGGUCUUUUAAGUCAGGGGUGAAAUCCUGGAGCUCAACUCCAGAACUGCCUUUGAUACUGAAGAUCUUGAGUUCGGGAGAGGUGAGUGGAACUGCGAGUGUAGAGGUGAAAUUCGUAGAUAUUCGCAAGAACACCAGUGGCGAAGGCGGCUCACUGGCCCGAUACUGACGCUGAGGAGCGAAAGCGUGGGGAGCGAACAGG